GCCAAACGCGGCUGAGCUUCGAAAGCGCGGCGUUGACCAUCGCGGCUUCGCGCUCCUCCGUCUGUUUCUGGGCAGAGCCCCUUAGCCCUUGCCCCCGACGUCCGCGCAUUGGCGACAGCGCAGCGGUCCCCCGACCUUGCCAAGGACGCAGGGAAGGAGCCAGCCGGCUGAAUCGGCUCGCGGUGGAUGGAAGCCCGGCCCCCGAGGAAGGCAGGGCCGGGCAGGAUCAGCUCUGGGCUGCCCGCAAGCGGGCAAACGAAGAGGCCCCCACCACGAAGCGAAGCCCCGCCAUAGGCAGGUUGGACGUGCGUCCGGCCCAGCCUUGGAGACCCCCGGGAUGGAGGAACUGCUGGCGCGCAGCGCUCCUCGCAGGUGAGCAGGAUCGGGACCAAACUGAUGGAUAUGGUUAUGAUUUCGUGCUGCGAAGCUCCCAGCACUUUUUAAAACGAAGAGCGGGGGGCAGAGGGAUCAGGGGGGCUGCAGAAGCAUAGAGACUUAUUUCACUUUAUGCGUGCUCGCGUUGUUCAUCUGAUCAAAAUCGCCCCUUCCAGCAGCUUGCAGACAUGGUUUGGUGGAGGUGGGUAGGAGAAGUAAGGACUUGACUCUCCCCCACCCCGCCACUCCAUGGCUAUUGGCAGAAGUGCCACCUCGGUGCUCAUGGGUGCCCGGGACCGCAGAUGCCAUGAAGAGUACAUGGCCCUGGCACCGAAAUUUGUGGGUGCCCUGCCCCUUCAUGGGGAAUUUUGAGGGUGCUCGGGUACCCAAGACCCCAGGGAGUUGGCACCCAUGGCUAUUGGCAACUUUUGGAUCAGGGUUUCCCUUGAGCACGCUGCUAUCUCCCUUUGGACUUCAUUUCUGCUGUCACUCAGUUUUGUAUCAGAAGAAUCCUUAUGCAGGGUGACCAUAGCAUAGAGAAUUGAAUACUCCCGACAGUUGAAAUUCUCCACUCAGAGAGGCUGAAUUCUGCGCAGGCUGAGAGCCUUUGCCUGGGGCUCCUUAUUUUGCCUAAUUGUUUCGGGUGUGGGGGUUUGCAUCUGCCAGUCAUGGCAAAGAACAUUGCAGCGUGCAGCAAAGGCACCAUCUUCCUUCCUUCAGCAGAGAUGGCAUCGCUACUCACACAGCCCUGUGUUUUCGCAGUGGGUGGUGAGGUGGGGUACCAAUUCCUUGGCUACCCAACUUCAGAAUGUGGGAGGAGCGGGCAAAGGGGUGAAGACCCUGCAUACGAAAGCUUAGGACUUUUUUUGUUUCUUCUACUCUUACUUGUACAUUCAAGAAUGUGUGUACUGCAGUUGUGUGGUGUGUUGUUUUUUUUAAAUUAAUUUUUAUUGCAUUUUCAGUUUUAUCAUAAUCACAAUUUCCAUACAUAUUUCAAAAAAACUCAAACCUCGCUCUAUUCGAGCAUCGACUUCCUCCCGCCCCUUUUUCUGACUUCCAUACAUGUUUACUUUAUUCUUAGCAUUUCCAUAACAACUUUUUUACCUUCUCUCUUGUUUUUUAAUUCACCUCUUUAAAUGUAAAUCAGUUCCUUAUAUUCUCUUUACAAGACAUUUCAACUCAAAGCUACAAACGUUUUCAAAUGUUUACAUUAUUCUUUCAGAUAUACUAUAAAUUUGCUCCAGUCCUUCUGAAACAGUUCGUCACACUGAUUCCGGAUCUUCCCCAUCAGCUUUGCUAAUUCCGCUUAUAUCCACCAUCUUACUCCUCCAUUCUUCCACUGUUGGGAUCUCCUGUGAUUUCCAUUUCUGAGCCAAAAGUAUCCUUACGGCCAUUGUGGCAUACUUAAACAGGUUUACAUCUUUUGGGGGGAUUUCAUCUCCAAUUAAACCUAACAAGAACAUCUCUUUAUUUUUUAUUAAAGUUAUAUUUCAAAAUCUUUUUUAAUUCAUUAUAAAUUAUAUCCCAAUAGGCUUUCACCAUGGUACACGUCCACCACAUAUGAUAGAAAUUCCCCUCCUUCUCCUUGCAUUUCCAACAAUUUUUAUCCUGAUUUCUAUACAUUUUAGCGAGUUUGGCUGGUGUUAUAUACCAACGGUACAUCACCUUGUUACAUUUUCUUUGAGUGACAUGCAUGCUGUGAAUUUAAUUGUUUUUGUCCACAUUUUUUCCCAUUUUUCAAAAACAAUGUUAUGUCCCAAAUCUUGGGCCAACUUAAUCAUAACACUUUUUACCUCCUCAUCCAUUCUGUGCCACUCUAGUAAUAAUUUAUACGUUUUCGACAAUGUUUUUCUUUGACUGCUCAACAAUUCCGUCUCUGUGUAUUGCAGUUGUUGAGGUCUCUUUGAUGCAGUGAAAGAGACUUUGGGGCCAUCCGUGGAUCACUGAAAGAGAACAGAACUGUGCUGAAACUAGGACUUUUGUUUGAAGUGACGUCUCCUCUUUGCUCUCUCCCCUUUACAGCCUCCAUCCUGAGUUCCUGCUUCCUCUUGACUCAAACCAAGGGCGAGAAGGAGACAGUUAUCAAGAUGGACACAGAACACCCAGAAAAAGGAGGCAGUGUCACCUUCACACCUGUAGACCUUGAUGUGGGGAACCUUAGCACCUUCAUCUGGUACCGAGGGGAAAUUGAGGAGAGUGCUCGAAUCUUUACUUAUAUACUAGUACCAUCUAGAAUACAGAAUAAUGGACCUUCAUUCACUGAGCGGGAGACUGGGGGCCUAGACACCACCCUUAACAUCAGGGAUUUAUGGCUAAAUGACUCUGGACUCUAUACAUUGACUGCUAAAGUAUCUUCAGGAACGGUGAUAGGAUUUAUAGUCUUAAAUGUCUUAGGUAUGGUGUCUACUUUUAGGAUCCGCCUUACUUCUAUUACUGUAAGUUAUUUUAAACUGUUUCUAAUAUUGUGUGUUUUAAUGUUAUAGCCUGCCCUUGGAACUAAGGGCCCAGGGUGGGUAAAUAGUGGUAACCGAAAUAGUAAUCACAGAAUUGACUUUAUAAUCUGAAACACACACAGAAAGAGAGACAUCACACGUUCUUUUGUAAUUCAUGGAAAUCUGUAAUAAAAAUCUUUUUUUUUUUAAACAAAUCAUAGAAUUGCAGAGUUGGAAGGGACCCCAAGGGACAUCUAGCACAACUCGUGGCAAUGCAGGAAUAUGCAUGGAGAAGAGUGAUGAGGGAGCCCAACAAAUCCAUCUGCAUGUCACUACCUGGCAGCUCUGCUGACCUUGAGGCUCAUAUUCCAUAAACUGGGAAUGUUAAUUAAUGCCGUUGCGAUCUUGCUUGUUAACCUUCGGGUAGAGUUGCUUAGUCGGUUACUGGUCCUGUUAAUACGAUUUUGUAAUUUCUGCUAUAUUGUUGUUUUGCCCAUUUUAUUUUUAUCGCUUUGCUCCCUGCUCUGGGGUUGAAAAAAUCCGAUGAAGAACGGGAUAGAAAUACUGCAGCUUAAUCAGAAUGGAAUGGAAGGCUCUCAUGUGCAGGGAAGCCUGAAUGUGCAAGGCACACGGGUGCAUUUGUCCAUGCAAGUCACCCUCCAGCUGCAUUCGUGGAGGGAUGUGAAGAGAAAGUUUGAGAUGCUUCACUGCAGCAAGGCCACAGACAAGCUUGGGGCAAAGUUGCCACCUUUUUUCCUUUUUCCUACUGCCUUUAACAGUAGUCAGAGCAGGCAAGAAAGAUUCUGGUGAUACUCUUUUUACCACAUACAGUCAUACCUCAUGUUACGUUUGCUUCAUGUUACAUUUUUUCAGGUUGCGUCCCGCAGCGACCUGCAAGUACUAGAAAGGGUUACUUCUGGGUUUCAUCCCUCGUGCAUGCACAGUAGUGCUAAAUCGCGCUUCGCACAUACGCACAAGUGCCAAAUCGCGCCGCGCAGAUACGGCGCUUCAGGUUGCAGGCUUUUCACGUUGUGAACGGGCCUCCAGAACGGAUCCCAUUCACAAUCAGAGGUACCACUGUAUCUCCAUGCCAGGGAGGGGGGAAAAAAACCUUUAGCUAUUCAUCAAGGCUGUUCUGAAUCAAAUAACUGGCAACAUUAGGUUGAUGUCCAGAAGAGCAGGUUUCACUGAAAAUUGCCCUAUACUCAAUGUUACACAUGUGGAGGACAUGCAAGAAAAUAAAGGAAUUUUGGAAUGUAAUCUAUAAUGAGCUUAAAAAAAUGAUUAAGGUAUUCUAUCCUUUAUUUUAAAAACCAGAGGUGUUUCUCUUAGGGAUACUUGGCCCAGAUAUACCUAAAAAUGCGAGAGAAUUAUUCUUGUAUGCUAUUGUAGCUGCAAGAAUAUUAAUUGCAUCAAACUAGAAAGGAGAGAAAAUUCCAACAAAACUGGAGUGGCAAAGUAAGUUGUUGGAGUACGCCAAAUUGGCAAAAAUGAUAGUAAAACUGAGAGGUUCUACAGGGCAAACUUUUAUUAAGAGAUGGGAUAUGUACAAAAAAAAACCCUUAUAAAUUACUGUAAUAACAUAAUGCCAGUGGGAGGACUCGAAUGAAUUCUGUGGUAUGUUGACUAACAAGAGAAUACAAUAUUGAUAAUUGACAAAAGCAAAUAAAAUAAAAUGAAUGUUAAUAGUGCGCUAGAGAGAUUAAGUGGUAAAUACACGAUGGGGUGGCAAGAAGUCAUUGGAUACUUACGUAAGUGGAAUGUGGAGUGAUGAUAUAACAAAUAGCACAAUUAUUAUUAUUAUUAUUAUUAUUAUUAUUAUUAUUAAACUUGUAUGUUUGUUACAUCUUUUUAAUCUCAAUAAAGCAAUUUAAAAAAAGGAAAAAAGAAAAUUGCCCCAUACUCAUGUGAUCAACUGGGGAAGGAAAAUCAUGGACACAUACUUUCCAAAGCUCACAGCACCUUUCUCUCCCGUCUUGCAGAUGUAGAGGAGGCUGACUCCCAUCCCCAAGCGUCAAUUAUUGGAAUCAUCCUAGGUUGUAUGAUUGGAAUCGUGGCCAUGGGAGGUCUGGGAUUGUUCCUGUACCCCAGGUUUCGCUCAGCGUAAGUCUGCCGUCCUGGUCCCCUUGAAUCAGGGUCCCCCUGAAUUUGCCAUCUCCCCCUGGUUCUCCGGGAAGUUCCUGCUCUGCUUAACUGCUUUGAGUGGUCUCUCUGCUCACGCUCAGGGUUUGAGGCUGUCUCACUGUGGUGAACCAGUGUGGUUAAGAGUGGUGGACUCGUAAUCUGGUGAACCAGGUUCGCGUCUCCGCUCCUCCACAUGCAGCUGCUGGGUGACCUUGGUCCAGUCACACUUCUCUGAAGUCUCUCAGCCCCACUCACCUCACAGAGUGUUUGUUGUGGGGGAGGAAGGGAAAGGAGAAUGUUAGCCGCUUUGAGACUCCUUAGGGUAGUGAUAAAGUGGGAUAUCAAAUCCAAACUCUUCUUCUUUUCCUUCUUCACUGGUGUCCUGCCCCACACUUCUCUUAGAAGCAUUCAGUGCCCCACUAUUUGCGCCUCCAAGCCAAAUGCACAAACGCCAACCAGGGUUGCCAUAUUGAAGAGGGGGCAGAGGAAGAAAUAUCUGCUUCAACUGUGACACUCAGGCAGGAGAAGUUGCAGAAGAAGAAGAGUUUGGAUUUGAUAUCCCGCCUUUCACUCCCUUUAAGGAGUCUCAAAGCAGCUAACAUUCUCCUUUCCCUUCCUCCCCCACAACAAACACUCUGUGAGGUGAGUGGGGCUGAGAGACUUCAAAGAAGUGUGACUGGCCUAAGGUCACCCAGCAGCUGCAUGUGGAGGAGCGGAGACGCGAACCCGGUUCCCCAGAUUAUGAGUCUACCGCUCUUAACCACUACACCACACUGGCUCUCACUUGCAGCAGCUGAGGUUGCCUUUUCUUGAUAAUCCACCAAAGCCACCGUAGGCCUAUCCUUUGUUAAACCUGAUGAUUCUGAUACACAAACAUUUGCAAUGAGUAGAUGACCACAUCAAGCACCCCUCCAAAAUUGGUUAGAAACUGUACACAUUGGGUUGACUUUUCAAUUCUAAAAGGUAAAGGUAAAGGACCCCUGGCAGUUAAGUCCAGUCGUGAAUGACUCUGGGGUUGUGGCGCUCAUCUCACUUUACUGGCCGAGGGAGCCGAUGUUUGUCCACAGACAGUUUUUCCGGGUCAUGUGGCCAGCAUGACUAAGCCGCUUCUGGCAAAACCAGAGCAGCGUGGUACCUGUUUAUCUACUUGCACUUUGAUGUGCUUUCAAACUGCUAGGUUGGCAGGAGCAGGGGUCACAGGGAUUCGAACUGCCAACCUUCCGAUUGGCAAGCCCUAGGCUCAUGAGGGGUAGCUAAGUUGUGACCUCCCAGAUGCUGUCAGACUCAAUAAAUGUCUGGAGGACACCUGAUUGAGGAAACCUUCCUUAAAGGUACCGGUAUUUUUUUGCCAUUUGGGGAGUUCCCAAUAUCUAGAGGAAAUCCUAGCAAGGCAUAUUCUUUGCACCCCUAACCCAUCUCAGGCCACUCGCCAUGCCUGCUUCCGCUAAUCUAGUAGGAGUUGUUCCUUCCGUGGUCUCAGCCUUUUGAGCAGAGGGUUCAAAAGGAGCAGAGGGUUGUGGGUUUUCAGUGCCUCCUGCUUGGCUGUGGUGGGCUUAUUCUCCUGGAUCUCUCUCUGUUUCCUAAUGCUUUUCCUCUGUCCUGUUUCUGUCAUUUCAGAGCAAGGCGUCGCUGACACGAAACCCAUCAUGGUAAGAAUGAUACACAUAUGAUUCCUAAUGUAUUCAGACUCCAGAGUUCUGGUCCAAUCUCUAGAACGGAGUAGGAAGGGGAGGGGAGGGGGUUUGAGCUAAAGCAGAGCAAAGUGAAGUUCUUCCUUCCUCAGAAGGAAGUAGGACAUCGAUGAGGAACUUUUUCAACCCAGCGAGCCAGAUCCUUAUUUCCAUGAGUCCUGUGGGCCAACUUUGACAUGUAGGCUGGAUCACCCAUCUACCAGUCACCUGACAUCCACCCCUCUCAGUGUGUCCUGCUUGGUUCUGCUGGGCUUGGGUUCUGUCUGUUGUACGUUCCAGGUCCGUGACUUUCUCUCUUUGUGAUUUCAGACCAGUGCUUCAGCGUAUCGGUAGGAACAGAAUACAAACCCACACUGGUAAGGAUAGAACAAAGGCAGUACCUAAUAUAUGCAGACUUCAGCAUUCUGAUUCAAAGUCUAGAAGCGGGAGAGGGGUUGAGUUGCAGCAGAGAAUGUCUUUCUUCCUGCAAAGGAAGUAAGAGCAGGAGUGGAGAACCUCUUCAGCCCAACAGUCCAGAUCUUUAUCUCCAUGAACCCCCUGGGCCAAGUUUGCCAGGUAGGCUAGGUCACCAACCUGUCAAUCACAUGACAACAAUGACUAUGAAUUUCAUUUGCAAGGAGGUUCCUUUGAAGUCACUUAUAAACAAACUUCAAAGUGCGGGCCACCUUUGGAAAGCAAUCUUCCAAUCUAUAUCAGUUGAUGCAACCCCAGGAUAAGGACACCCAUGUUAUUUGGAAUAAAACUUGCAGCAUUUACUGAGGACAGACAAAUACUCUAUAUAGAGAAUAAUCCCCAAGAAAUACAAAAUGUUAUAAGAGCUCUUAAAACCAACAAUUCACCAGGCUUUGAUGGUUUACCUGCAUAAUUUUAUAAAAACAUUUUCAGGUAGCAGUACUGUUAAAAUUAAGCUGUUUAACUAUUGUAAGCUAACUAAGGUAAUAUAAGAAUCUUGGAAAGAUGAAAAAAUAACCUUAAUUCAUAGGAAAGACAAAUAUCCGACAUUACCCUAAUCUUAUAGACCAAUAUCACCAUUAAACCAAGAUUUCAGAAUUCUUGCUCCAAUGUACACAAAAAGGUUAAAGUUAUUUUAAUGUAUAGACAUCCAGACCCAUGGAUGUCAUAGAAAUAGCUUUGGUUUUCUUAGAUGCUGAAAAAGCUUUUGAUGGGAUAGAAAGUAAUUAUUCAUACUCCCUGUUGGAUAAAUUAAAUACUGGUGUUCCUUUCUUGGAAUAUAUCAAAGCUGUUUCUGAAGACCCAUGCACAGUUUUAUAUAUAAACAAACAAAUAUAAAUAUUUGAAAUCAUUUUUGAGGAAGCAGAGCCCCCCCCCUUCACCUUUGCAUUUUUUGUGUGCUGAACCAUUGACAAAAUUGAUAAAGAAGUACCGGGGGAAAAUGUUAAAUCAAAUACCAAUGCUGGUAUUCAUAAUAUUGAUGUUGUGUGAAGUAUAUAUGUAUUUGAUAAUACUAUGUACCUAUGAAUUUGUUGAGUUUAUGUGUUUGUUGUGUUUUUUAAGUGAAAUUUAAACAUAUAUUUAAAAGGAAGGAUCUAGAGCUUGGCUGUUAUCCUGACACCUUUACACUCGCUGGCUGGAUUACUGUAAGGUGGGAUGAAGUUUGAUGUUUCCUGGAUAACAGAUUGAUUAUUGAUUGCAUGCUUUCCCUUAUAACCCUGCAAGUAGAAAGUUGUGAGCUCUGUUGUGUCAUCGUGUUUGCUUUUGAAAAAUUCAACGAAAGCUAGAAAUCCAGGGAACGGCCUUGCAAUAAACACUCAAAAGUGCUGCCCGAUCACAGCCCCCGAUACCACAAUGCCUUUGAACUUCCCCUUGGUCCCACUGACUCCUUCUUAUGAUAUCUUACAGGGUGAAGACAUACAAUAUUCAACACUAGCCUUCAAGGCCAACCACCCUCCUCAGCCAGAGCCAGGGCCAUCCGGCCUUUGGAAAGCAACAUAAUAUGCUCAGAAAUCAAGAAGAAAUGAUCAGGGAUAAUUCUCCCCCGGUGCUCUCCUCAGUGCAAACAUCUCCUAUGACUCACCUCCUUUGCCUGGAUUGUUUUAGGGAAGUGUGAUGAAAAAAUUGGUUGCCUUGUCUGAAGAGAAGAAUGUAGAAUUCUCCCACAUAGGCACACAGUUGCCUGGUGUAAUAAAAAGUUUUAGCAGUGGGACAA